GAAGCCAUGUCUAUUCUCCAGCUUCACCGGAGUCCUAGUCCCGUCUCUCUCUAAUGGGGCGGUGGGCAUCUCUUGAAUGCCCUUCUCUUGCAUUGUGGUUAGCACUCUUCCUUUCUCCCUGCCAGAUUCCCCACCAUCAGGAAGGAUCAUCUCAUUUUCCCUGAGAUCCUGGUGGAAAACUUCAGGAACCUGGGUUACUUCAUGUCCUUCCUUCCCUACCUCUAAUCGGUCACCAGUGUCGAUUCUUCAGCACCCUUCUCACUUCCAGGCCUUUGCCCUAUUCUUGCCAUUCGCCUAGUCCCAAAGCUCACCAUCCCACAGCAAGAUAAUGCCCCAGCCUCGCUGACAGGACCAGGAGAUAUGUGUCCUGUGGCAACAUCUACAAAGGCCUUGCUCAGACUGGUGCCUGGGGCUGCUUUGAUGAGUUUAAUCGAAUCUCCGUGGAGGUCUUGUCAGUGGUGGCAGUGCAGGUAGGGGCCAGAAGUUGGUGGGAGCCUUGUGGUCUUCAUAUUGAUUACUGCGGAAGUCUAUGUCCUCUUGU
rnacentral:sRNA from 1 species